GAUGAACGCUGGCGGCGUGCCUAAUACAUGCAAGUCGAGCGAACAGACGAGGAGCUUGCUUCUUCGACGUUAGCGGCGGACGGGUGAGUAACACGUAGGUAACCUACCUAUAAGACUGGGAUAACUUCGGGAAACCGGAGCUAAUACCGGAUAAUAUUUUGAACCGCAUGGUUCGAUAGUGAAAGAUGGCUUUGCUAUCACUUAUAGAUGGAUCUGCGCCGCAUUAGCUAGUUGGUAAGGUAACGGCUUACCAAGGCAACGAUGCGUAGCCGACCUGAGAGGGUGAUCGGCCACACUGGAACUGAGACACGGUCCAGACUCCUACGGGAGGCAGCAGUAGGGAAUCUUCCGCAAUGGGCGAAAGCCUGACGGAGCAACGCCGCGUGAGUGAUGAAGGUCUUCGGAUCGUAAAACUCUGUUAUUAGGGAAGAACAAGCGUGUAAGUAACUGUGCACAUCUUGACGGUACCUAAUCAGAAAGCCACGGCUAACUACGUG
rnacentral:rRNA from 1 species